GAUGAACGCUGGCGGCGUGCCUAAUACAUGCAAGUCGAGCGAAUGGAUUAAGAGCUUGCUCUUAUGAAGUUAGCGGCGGACGGGUGAGUAACACGCGGGUAACCUGCCCAUAAGACUGGGAUAACUCCGGGAAACCGGGGCUAAUACCGGAUAACAUUUUGAACCGCAUGGUUCGAAAUUGAAAGGCGGCUUCGGCUGUCACUUAUGGAUGGACCCGCGUCGCAUUAGCUAGUUGGUGAGGUAACGGCUCACCAAGGCAACGAUGCGUAGCCGACCUGAGGGGGUGAUCGGCCACACUGGGACUGAGACACGGCCCAGACUCCUACGGGAGGCAGCAGUAGGGAAUCUUCCGCAAUGGACGAAAGUCUGACGGAGCAACGCCGCGUGAGUGAUGAAGGCUUUCGGGUCGUAAAACUCUGUUGUUAGGGAAGAACAAGUGCUAGUUGAAUAAGCUGGCACCUUGACGGUACCUAACCAGAAAGCCACGGCUAACUACGUGCCAGCCGCCGCUGUAA
rnacentral:rRNA from 1 species